rnacentral:rRNA from 1 species
UACGGGGGGAGCAAGCGUUGUUCGGAUUUACUGGGCGUAAAGGGCGCGUAGGCGGUCAGCACAAGCCGGUUGUGAAAUCUCCGGGCUUAACCCGGAAAGGUCAACUGAUACUGUGCGACUAGAGUGCGGAAGGGGCAACUGGAAUUCUCGGUGUAGCGGUGAAAUGCGUAGAUAUCGAGAGGAACACCUGCGGCGAAGGCGGGUUGCUGGGCCGACACUGACGCUGAUGCGCGAAAGCCAGGGGAGCGAACAGG